rnacentral:rRNA from 1 species
AUCUUUCGGGAUGAAGACAGGAUCCGGGUGUGGCGGACGGGUGAGUAACGCGUGGAGAACCUGUCUUCCAGUCCGGGAUAACCUGGCGAAAGCCGGACUAAUCCCGGAUAGACUAAUAGCUGAGCAUUCAGCUAUCAGGAAAGGUGGUGUAAGCCAUCGCUGGGAGGUGGCUCCGCGUCGGAUUAGCUAGCUGGUGAGGUAACGGCUCACCAGGGCGACGAUCCGUAGCUGGUCUGAGAGGACGAUCAGCCACACUGGGACUGAGACACGGCCCAGACUCCUACGGGAGGCAGCAGUGGGGAAUCUUCCGCAAUGGGCGAAAGCCUGACGGAGCAACGCCGCGUGAGUGAAGAAGGCCUUCGGGUCGUAAAGCUCUGUCCUCAGGGAAGAAACCUUAAGGGAGGCAAUGCCCUUAAGCUGACGGUACCUGAGGAGGAAGCCCUGGCUAACUACGUGCCAGCAGCCGCGGUAAUACGUAGAGGGCAAGCGUUGUCCGGAAUUACUGGGCGUAAAGGGUACGCAGGUGGAUUACUAAGUCAAAUGUGAAAUACACCGGCUCAACCGGUGAGGUGCAUUUGAAACUGAUAAUCUUGAGUGCAG